rfam:Camelus ferus unplaced genomic scaffold scaffold1074, whole genome shotgun sequence.
GAGGGUAUAGCUCAAUUGGUAGAGUACUGGCUUAGCAUGCAUGAGGUCCUGGGUUCAAUCCCAAGUACCUCCA